AACCAGCACCUCAAGUGGUCAGGAUGAUUAUUGGGCCUAAAGCAUCCGUAGCUCGUUUUGUAAGUUUUCGGUUAAAUCCAUACGCUCAACGUAUGGGCUGCCGGGAAUACUGCAUAACUAGGAAGUGGGAGAGGUAGACGGUACUCGAUAGGAAGGGGUAAAAUCCUUUGAUCUAUUGAUGACCACCUGUGGCGAAGGCGGUCUACCAGAACAUGUUCGACGGUGAGGGAUGAAAGCUGGGGGAGCAAACCGG
rnacentral:rRNA from 1 species